GCUGGGCAUGGUGGUGGGUGCCUGUAAUCCCAGCUACUCGGGAGGCUGAGGCAGGAGAAUCGCUUGAACCCGGGAGGCGGAGGCUGCAGUGAACUGAGAUCUCGUCAUUGCACUCCAGCCUGGGUGACAGAGUGAGACUCUGUCUCAA
ensembl:misc_RNA Metazoa_SRP Metazoan signal recognition particle RNA